CCCAAAGGCUGGCACCCUGAAAUCAAAGAACUUUGCUCCUCUCUUCCCAUGAAAACAUGAGCAGAACAGCCCCCAGGACUGUGCGCUACCAGGAGGUUAGACCAAGAGUGCAAAGUACAGGCAGAAGUCAGCAUAUGGAAAGGAAAAUUGAAGUGAAGUGCAUGGAGUCUCAAUUAAAAAACAACAAACAAACAAAACACACACACACACAAAAACCAAGUAAACAAACAAAACAAAAAAAUUAAAACCCCUGAAAUGCCACAGCCAUGGGGCCAGAUCUGUUGGACACUAUUUGAAGCUUCAUACUAACACGAGCAAUUGCAGCCAUAGACCACCUGGGCAAAGAGCGAAGCUGCUCCUGACUGCACUUGUUUUCUCUGGCAUCACUUUUCUCAAGUAUUUCCAAAUACCACUGAGUUUUGUGGUCUCAUACAGAUAUGACUUCGGUACCUAAACAGAAGACAAGUCCAGCUCUGGCUUGUUGCACCACAGCCCACAACAAAAUGGCUGUGGAAGAGACCUGUGGGGAAGGAAGAGAAGAAAAAUGUAAUAGUCCAAGCCUGAACUGACAAGGUCCUUCAGCCUUAUCUUCCAUGAGUUAUUACUGUUCGGGACAUCUGUGCCGGGAGAACAAACUUCUGGAUAAUUCAGCCCCAAACAGUUAAAAGCUGUUCCCUAGCUCCCAGGCUGCCUUCCCCCAAGAUGUAUACAACCAAGGAGGAUAGAGGUCAGGAAAGCAUCACUGCUCUCUGACCUGAAGCUGACAUUACCCUCACCAUGGUGCUGCCAGGUUUGUUGUCCCAUAGUUUGUGCCAGCUAUGGCCUCCUGGAUCAUCUGCUCAGAGCAUGGCUCACAGCCUUCUGCUCCUGGACACAUAACCUGUGCUUCUCACACGUCUUUCUCUGUACGCGCCCUUACUGCAACUAUCUGUGCAAAUUCUUUGUGGCCAUAAUUAUAUUCUCAGUUUCUCUCUUUAA